GAACCAGUACCGUGAGGGAAAGGUGAAAAGUACCCCGGGAGGGGAGUGAAAAGAACAUGAAACCAUAAACUUACAAGCAGUAGGAGGACGACUAAAACGUCUAACUUCGUGCCUGUUGAAGAAUGAGCCGGCGACUUAUAAGUAGUGGCAGGUUAAAGCAGAGAAUGCUGAAGCCAUAGUGAAAGCGAGCCUGAAUAGGGCGUACGUCACUGUUUAUAGACCCGAACCCGGAUGAUCUAACCAUGGCCAGGUUGAAGCUUAGGUAAUACUAAGUGGAGGACCGAACCGACUGAUGUUGAAAAAUCAGCGGAUGAGUUGUGGUUAGGGGUGAAAUGCCAAUCGAAUUCGGAGCUAGCUGGUUCUCCCCGAAAUGCGUUUUGGCGCAGCGGUAAAUGUUAUAAUUUAGGGGUAAAGCACUGUUACGUAUGCGGGCUGGUAAUUCGGUACCAAAUCGUUGCAAACUAAGAAUACUAAAUGGAUAAUUUACCAGUGAGACUGUGGGGGAUAAGCUUCAUUGUCAAGAGGGAAACAGCCCAGAGCACCAGUUAAGGCCCCAAAAUAAUUACUAAGUGGCAAAGGAGGUGGGAGUGCAGAAACAAUCAGGAGGUUUGCUUAGAAGCAGCAAUCCUUUAAAGAGUGCGUAAUAGCUCACUGAUCGAGUAAACCUGCGCCGAAAAUGUACGGGACUAAGUAAUUUGCCGAAACUGUGCGAUAUAUUGAAUAUAUCGGUAGGGGAGCGUUCUGUUGUAGGUUGAAGCAUUAACGUAAGUGGGUGUGGACGAAGCAGAAGUGAGAAUGUCGGCUUGAGUAGCGAAAACAUUGGUGAGAAUCCAAUGCCCCGAAAACCUAAGGUUUCCCCCGGAAGGCUCGUCCGCGGGGGGUGAGUCAGGACCUAAGGCGAGGUCGAAAGACGUAGUCGAUGAG
rnacentral:rRNA from 1 species